rnacentral:tRNA from 1 species
UAAGAGAUAGCUUAAUUAUAAAGCAAAGCUUUGAAGGGGCUUUUAUAAGAAUCAUUUCUUUCUCUUAG